UACAGAGGGCCCGAGCGUUACGCGGAUUCACUGGGCUUAAAGGGUGCGUAGGCGGGGACUUAAGUGUCUCGUGAAAUCCCACGGCUCAACCGUGGAAUUGCGGGGCAUACUGGGUCUCUUGAGGCUGGUAAGCGCCGCCGGAACUGUAGGUGUAGCGGUGAAAUGCGUAGAUAUCUACAGGAACGCCGAUGGUGAAGACGGGCGGCUGGGCCAGUUCUGACGCUGAGGCACGAAAGCGUGGGGAUCAAACAGG
rnacentral:rRNA from 1 species